UGUAGCAAUACACAGUGGCGAACGGCGAAGUAAUACAUAAGCAACGUGCCCUGAAGACUGGGAUAGUCAGAGGAAACUCUGGGUAAUACCAGAUGAGGCCGUCACCCGGCAUCGGGAGACGAUCAAACGGUUUUUCGCUUCAGGAGCGGCUUAUGGCCUAUCAGGUAGUUGGUGGGGUAAUGGCCUACCAAGCCGACGACGGGUAGCGGGUCUGAGAGGAUGAUCCGCUCGAGUGGGACUGAGACACGGCCCACACACCUACGGGUGGCAGCAGUUGGGAAUCUUGCACAAUGGGGGAAACCCUGAUGCAGCGACGCCGCGUGGAGGAUGACGGAUUUAGGUCUGUAAACUCCUUUUUCAGGGAAAGACUUAGGACGGUACCCUGAGAAUAAGGACCGGCUAACUACGUGCCAGCAGCCGCGGUAAGACGUAGGGUCCAAGCGUUGUCCGGAUUUACUGGGCGUAAAGAGCGCGUAGGCGGCUUGUUAAGUGUGAAGCUAAAUCUCCAGGCUCAACUUGGAAACUAUUUCGCAUACUGGCAAGCUGGAGUGAUGAAGAGGUUUGUGGAAUUCCUGGUGUAGCGGUGAAAUGCGUUGAUAUCAGGAGGAACACCCAUGGCGAAGGCAGCAAACUGGUCAUCAACUGACGCUGAGGCGCGAAAGCGUGGGUAGCAAACAGGAUUAGAUACCCUGGUAGUCCACGCCCUAAACGAUGGAUACUAGGCGUAAGAGGUAUCGACCCCUCUUGUGCCGCAGCUAACGCAUUAAGUAUCCCGCCUGGGGAGUACGGCCGCAAGGUUGAAACUCAAAUGAAUUGAC
rnacentral:rRNA from 1 species